rnacentral:rRNA from 1 species
GAUGAACGCUAGCGGGAGGCCUAACACAUGCAAGCCGAGCGGUAUUGUUUCUUCGGAAAUGAGAGAGCGGCGUACGGGUGCGGAACACGUGUGCAACCUGCCUUUAUCUGGGGGAUAGCCUUUCGAAAGGAAGAUUAAUACUCCAUAACAUAUUGAACGGCAUCGUUUAAUAUUGAAAGCUCCGGCGGAUAGAGAUGGGCACGCGCAAGAUUCUCUAGUUGGUGAGGUAACGGCUCACCAAGGCGAUGAUCUUUAGGGGGCCUGAGAGGGUGAUCCCCCACACUGGUACUGAGACACGGACCAGACUCCUACGGGAGGCAGCAGUGAGGAAUAUUGGUCAAUGGGUGCAAGCCUGAACCAGCCAUCCCGCGUGAAGGACGACUGCCCUAUGGGUUGUAAACUUCUUUUGUAUAGGGAUAAACCUACCCUCGUGAGGGUAGCUGAAGGUACUAUACGAAUAAGCACCGGCUAACUCCGUGCCAGCAGCCGCAGUAAGAC